rnacentral:rRNA from 1 species
GAUGAACGCUGGCGGCGUGCCUAAUACAUGCAAGUCGAGCGAACAGACGAGGAGCUUGCUACUCUGACGUUAGCGGCGGACGGGUGAGUAACACGUGGAUAACCUACCUAUAAGACUGGGAUAACUUCGGGAAACCGGAGCUAAUACCGGAUAACAUGUUGAACCGCAUGGUUCAACAGUGAAAGACGGUUUUGCUGUCACUUAUAGAUGGAUCCGCGCCGCAUUAGCUAGUUGGUAAGGUAACGGCUUACCAAGGCAACGAUGCGUAGCCGACCUGAGAGGGUGAUCGGCCACACUGGAACUGAGACACGGUCCAGACUCCUACGGGAGGCAGCAGUAGGGAAUCUUCCGCAAUGGGCGAAAGCCUGACGGAGCAACGCCGCGUGAGUGAAGAAGGUCUUCGGAUCGUAAAACUCUGUUAUUAGGGAAGAACAAAUGUGUAAGUAACUAUGCACGUCUUGACGGUACCUAAUCAGAAAGCCACGGCUAACUACGUG